ACCAUCAACAACUAGAGAAAAGCCCACGCAGCUGCGAAGACCCAGCACAGACAAAAGCAAGUGGAAACGACUGAGCCCACUACUGAAGCCCGCACACCUCAGCCUGUGUUCAGCACAAGAGAAGCCACCACAGUGAGAACAUGCACCACCACGAAAAGGCAACCGCGCUGACUGCAACUACAGAAGCUCGAGUGCAGCAACGAAGACCCACCACAGUCAAAAAAUUAAUUCUGGAGCUAGAUUAGACAACUGUUGCUGGCCUCCAAGACAGUUUCACAUCUCUUGGCAUUCACACCCUUACACAGGCUCCUCCUAAGAUGAACAGUGCUGAUUUCUACCAACAGAAGGAUACUGCAGAAGUGGAUU